rnacentral:rRNA from 1 species
CUACGGGAGGCAGCAGUGGGGAAUAUUGCACAAUGGGCGCAAGCCUGAUGCAGCAACGCCGCGUGAGGGAUGAAGGCCUUCGGGUUGUAAACCUCUUUUAGCAGGGAAGAAGCGAAAGUGACGGUACCUGCAGAAAAAGCACCGGCUAACCACGUGCCAGCAGCCGCGGUGAAUACGUAGGGUGCAAGCGUUGUCCGGAAUUAUUGGGCGUAAAGAGCUCGUAGGCGGUUUGUCACGUCUGCUGUGAAAAUCCAAGGCUCAACCUUGGACUUGCAGUGGGUACGGGCAGGCUAGAGUGCGGUAGGGGAGAUGGGAAUUCCUGGUGUAGCGGUGGAAUGCGCAGAUAUCAGGAGGAACACCAAUGGCGAAGGCACAUCUCUGGGCCGUAACUGACGCUGAGGAGCGAAAGCGUGGGGAGCGAACAGGAUUAGAUACCCCCGUAGUC